rnacentral:lncRNA from 1 species
CCACUUAGUUUUUUUAUAAAGAAAUAAUAUUUAUUUUUUAAAAUAUAAUUAAUUACUAAAAUAUAAUAUUUACCAAAGUUAUGGCCCUUGAACGCUGUUAGGGAUGUGUUAGGAUAUUUAUCAAUUAAGAUAAGGAACAUAACAAAAUAAAGCAUGAUGAUUCAAUAGAAUUAACUAAAAUAUUAUUUUUUUAUCACUAAUAAGCAUUAUAAAGAAACUAAAAAACUGAGGAAGCAUUUUUAAGAGUGAGAAUCAACCAAAUAUUGGAAAACUAUUUCUGCAACCAACAGAUGAUGUAAAUUCAGAUAUGACUAUAAAGCGGAUACUAAAUUCAUAAGCUAUAUUUGUUUGAAAUAUAUAUGGACAUGUAUUAGAUUCAGACACAUAUAAGUUCAAAUUUAAAUCAACUUCAAGUCUUCGAGAGAGUUAUACAUGUAAAUAUUACAAGCAUCAAAUUCAUUACCGAUCAUAUUUCACAGUAACUGCUAGUUCCAAUAUGAUGGUGCCAAUUUAGAACAUAACAUAUAGAAUAUAUUAUGGUUUAUGUAGUUAUAUAUUUGAAAAAUAUACAAGUAAACUUAAAGGCUGUUAGGGAGUCACUAGAGUGCUAAAGUUAUGGCCCACAUCUAAACGCAUAUGGCUUGUAAUUUACGCAAAUUUGGGCGCUUGUAGUCAGUUGCAUCUUUUAUUAUUGAAUCAUUGAUAGAAAACCAAAGUUCAAGCAGUUUUAAAAUUCAAGUCCACGAUGUUUAUUGAAUCAUUAACAACAUACUCCAAAAUUGGCCCUUUGGGAAUCCAAUUGGAUAUCUUUUAUAGAGGUUUAUACCAUGGACUGUCAUAUCACCCAACACAUUAGGAAAGAGACAAUACAUACCAGUUCAAGAGCUAGCCUAGACGCGAACCAACCCAAAAUGGAAGAAACAUAACGUGUAUUCCUCAUAUAUCAACUGAUACUGUUGAAAUUUAACAAUCAGAUUAACAUGACCCUCCAAUGGGAUUGUUUUAGUCUUUUGAAAGCACCUACAUCCCCCCCCCCACCCCCCCCCCCCCUCUUCCAUGCACUCCAACUCACUCUCAUCCUUGCUUUCUUUCUCAUUCUUAUUAAACUUGUUUAAUCUCUAAUUGACAAUUAGUGAACAUAAACCUCUUGAUUUGGAUAAAAGAGGGACUUGAACCCAAAGUCUGCAAUUUGUCUCCUAAUGAAAUUUAGCUUUAUCAUGUCAUGUUAUUAGCAUAAAGAAUAUUGGUAACUCAAGAUUGAUUACUGACUAAUGAUUAACUAAGACUCAAUUACGAAGAAUUAGCUUAGAUUGACCAUGUAUUUACAUGAUAUACAAGCUUAUUGGAUAAAGUCUUAUUAAUGCAUGUCUAAGUACCAAAUUUAAUUUCAAUACCAAUAAAUUGAAUUAGCAUAAAAAACCUAAAGUAUGGUUUUUUUUUCCAAAUUUUGAUGUAUUUAAUUUCAAUACCAAUAAAUGGAAUCCAAUUGGAUAUAUUUUAUAGAGGUUUAUACCAUGGACUGUCAUAUCACCCAACACAUUAGGAAAGAGGCAAUACAUACCAGUUCAAGAGCUAGCCUAGAGGCGAACCAACCCAAAAUGGAAGAAACAUAACGUGUAUUCCUCAUAUAUCAACCGAUACUGUUGAAAUUUAACAAUCAGAUUAACACGACCCUCCAAUGGUCAGAUUGACCAAUGGGAUUGUUUUAGUCUUAUGGAAGCACCUA